AGGCGCAGCUGAUCCUGAUGUCUCACGUGAGUGAUGAAAACUGUAUUUGGUUGUAAAACUCUUUAGAUGAAUUUCAAGACGUCUGCCAGAAGAUUCACAAGAAAAGUCCCGGCUAACCUCGAUGCCAGCAGCCGCGGUAAUACGACGAGGGGCAAGCGUUAUUCGGAAUGAUUGGGCGUAAAGAGCACGUAGACUGAGAUAGGAUUGGCUUAGGAAAAAGUCAAAGCUUGACUUUGAUCUCAUUAAGUGAAAUCCAUCUCUUGAGCUAGGGAAAAGAAGGUGGAAUUUCUAAGGGAGAGGUAAAAUUUGUUGAUCUUAGAAGGAACAUCAAAAGCGAAGGCAGACUUCUUGCUCUAAUCUGACGUUGAGGUGCGAAAGCGUGGGGAUCAAAAGGGAUUAGAUACCCCUGUAGUCCACGCCGUCAACUAUGACCUUGCCUUAUUGGUUCAAUCUUUGAAUCUGUGAGUUAGCUAACGCGAUAAAUGGUCCGACUGAGGAGUACGAUCGCAAGAUUUAACUCAAAGGAAUAAACGGGGGCUCACACAAGUGGUGGAACAUGUGGUCU
rnacentral:rRNA from 1 species